rnacentral:rRNA from 1 species
UACGUAGGUGACAAGCGUUAUCCGGAGUUACUGGGCGUAAAGGGCGUGUAGGCGGAGAUGUAAGUCUAUUCUGAAAGCUCCUGGCUAAACUGGGAGAGGCGAAUGGAGACUGCAUAUCUAGAGUGAGGAAGAGGAAAGUGGAAUUCCGCGUGUAGUGGUGAAAUGCGUAGAGAUGCGGAGGAACACCAGUGGCGAAAGCGGCAUCCUGGACCAAUUCUGACGCUGAGGAGCGAAAGCCAGGGGAGCAAACGGG